rnacentral:rRNA from 1 species
UGCCACAGCCAUAUCACCCUGCAGCCCAAGACCGGUUACUCACUGAAGUUAAGCAGGGCUGAGCCUGGUCAGUACCUGGAUAGGAGAUCACAUGGGAAAACUAGGUUGCUGUUUUAA